GCCAAAAAAACCAAAAAAUGGAAGACGACGGAUUCACCCUGGUCACUGGUAGAAAAGCCGGAAAACAGUCGGCGAAAUUUGUCAGUUUUCUCCAAAAAACAAAUUAUCGAUUUUUUACAAAUUUAAAUUUCAGAAAAAAACAGAAAAUGGAAAGCAUAUUCGAGUUGAUGGAACACUGGAAAGUAUCGAAAAAGCUAUGGAAUUGGCGAAAAAUGGGAUUCUGAAAAGCGGAUUGGG
rnacentral:sRNA from 1 species